CGUCGGCGAAGCUUGCCGUCACGGGAGGUGAUCCGGCAUCGCAUUCUUGCUGCUUUGAGCCACUAGCACCGCUGCUGCUACUCCGAAAUUCCGUUUCUGUUUCUUAGGGUUUGCUAUCUCAGCCCCUUGAAGUUACGUUGGUUCUGUUCUUGCUGUUACCUGAAUCUCUGCCGCCGUGGGUAUUGCCAAUGGAGUCGCUGGGAACCAAUGUUGGAGAUGUCCUUGAUGAUUCUGAUGCUGCUACGUAGGUUCGGAGCUGCUGUGUUGUUGCCGGAGGAAGGAAACUCAU